rnacentral:rRNA from 1 species
GGGAAUUUUCCGCAAUGGGCGAAAGCCUGACGGAGCAAUACCGCGUGNGGGANGAAGGCUUUUGGGUCGUAAACCUCUUUUGUUAGGGAAGAACACAAUGACGGUACCUAACGAAUCAGCAUCGGCUAACUCCGUGCCAGCAGCCGCGGUAAUACGGAGGAUGCAAGCGUUAUCCGGAAUUAUUGGGCGUAAAGCGUCCGCAGGUGGUUUNUCAAGUCUGCUGUUAAAGCAUGGGGCUUAACCCCAUAUNGGCAGUGGAAACUGAGAGACUAGAGUACGGUAGGGGUAGCGGGAAUUCCCAGUGUAGCGGUGAAAUGCGUAGAUAUUGGGAAGAACACCAGCGGCGAAGGCGCGCUACUGGGCCGAAACUGACACUGANGGACGAAAGCUAGGGGAGCGAAAGGGAUUAGAUACCCCUGUAGUCCUAGCUGUAAACGAUG